GCAUCUGGGAAAAUCACAUACUGUGGCCACGAAUUGAAUGAGUUUGUGCCACAGAGAACCUGUGCUUACAUCAGUCAACAUGAUCUUCACCAUGGAGAGAUGACAGUGAGAGAGACACUGGAUUUCUCAGGACGAUGCUUAGGUGUUGGUACAAGAUAUGAACUGCUGGCUGAACUUUCGAGAAGAGAGAAACAACAAGGAAUUAAGCCGGAUCCUGAGAUUGAUGCAUUCAUGAAAGCCGUGGCAGUUGCAGGCCAAGAGACUAGCUUGGUUACAGAUUAUGUUCUCAAGGUUUGCUCUUCAUUUCAACUUAGCUUAUUUCGUUCGUAACAUAUUUCAUGAUACUUAAGAUUUAGAAACCGUAACAGCUUCUUGGCUUGGACAUAUGCGCCGAUACUAUGGUUGGUGAUGAGAUGAGAAGAGGUAUUUCUGGUGGACAGAAAAAGCGUGUUACAACAGGUAUGUUGCCUUCGACAAGUCCUUGAAAUUCUUGUUUCUUCAGUCACAAGUUUCUCUAGUAGUAGCUGCUUUAUAAUUACUAUGAAAUUGUUUUUUUCUUCUAUUGCAAGUAUUAACAUUUACAAUCUAAUUGUGUGCAGGAGAGAUGUUAGUCGGAGCAGCAAAGGUGCUUUUAAUGGAUGAAAUAUCAACUGGAUUGGAUAGCUCUACCACUUUUCAGAUUUGCAAGUUUUUGAAGCAAAUGGUUCACAUCAUGGACGUAACAAUGAUCGUUGCUCUUCUGCAACCAGCACCAGAGACCUAUGAUCUCUUUGACGACAUUAUCUUAAUUUCAGAAGGUCAAAUUGUCUAUCAUGGCCCGCGUGAUAAUGUCCUCGAGUUCUUUGAACAAAUGGGUUUCAAAUGCCCUGAAAGAAAAGGAGUUGCAGAUUUUCUGCAGGAAGUUACUUCGAAGAAGGAUCAAGAACAAUAUUGGUUUAGAAAAAACCAACCCUACAGAUAUAUUCCAGUGUCUGAUUUUGUGGAAGGUUUCAAAUCUUUCCACAUGGGCCAGCAGCUUGCGUCGGAUCUUAGGGUCCCUUAUGAUAAAUCCCAAACCCACCCCGCUGCAUUGGUGAAAGAGAAGUAUGGUAUUUCAAAAUGGGAAUUAUUCAGGGCAUGUUUUGCAAGGGAGUGGCUGCUGAUGAAACGCAAUUCGUUUGUAUAUAUUUUCAAGACUUUCCAGUUAACAUUCAUGUCCUUAAUUUGCAUGACGGUGUUCUUUAGAACAGAAAUGUCAGUGGGAGAUCUGGAAGGUGGCAAUAAGUAUUUCGGAGCACUGUUUUUCAGUCUGCUUAAUAUUAUGUUUAACGGGAUGGCAGAACUUUCAAUGACUGUUUUGAGGCUACCUGUAUUUUAUAAACAAAGGGAUCACUUAUUCUAUCCUGCGUGGGCUUUUGCCUUACCUAUAUGGGUUCUCCGGAUCCCAUUAUCAAUCCUGGAUUCAACAAUAUGGAUCGUUCUGACCUACUACACAAUAGGUUUUGCUCCAGCAGCAAGCAGGUAAAAGUAGUACUCAGAUUUACAGCUUAUUUUCAUUGUACUUCUACACCAUAGGAUUUUGAGUUUAUAUUUCCAUAUUUUAUUGUUUUGUCAAAGAUUGCAUCUGUGCUAGCUACAUAGUGGUUAGAGUUUCUUUGACUGAAAUUUAUUUCAUUUUUUCUUCGUUCAGGUUCUUCAAACAAUACUUGGCAUACUUUUGUAUACACAAUAUGGCUCUGCCCCUUUACCGGUUCAUUGCUGCUAUUGGAAGAACUGAGGUUAUUACAAACGCACUGGGUACUUUCGCCUUGUUACUCAUUUUUUCACUCGGAGGAUUCAUCAUUGCCAAAGGUAAGUUGAUUUCCUUUUUCUCACUAUGUUAUUAAUAGUGGCAAGGAUUGGUAUUUUGAAUAAGAAAUCUGAAACCUUUGAUAGAAGCUAUUUUCUCUUUAGUUGAAGCAGUCAUUUACUUUUUGUCUGCAGAUGACAUUGAGCCAUUCCUGGAAUGGGGCUACUAUGUUUCGCCUAUGAUGUAUGGACAGACUUCCAUACUUGUAGAUGAAUUCCUUGAUGGAAGAUGGGAUGUGGUAAGGCCUUUUAUGCUUUGGCUAUUUCUUCCUGGCCAUAAUUCAUCUGCCAAUGCUUAUAUAUCUCAUUCUAUUGCAGCCCAGUGGAGACCGCAGCAUUAAUGAACGUACACUUGGGAAAGCACUUCUCAAGAGGAGAGGCUUCUACAAUGACAGUUACUGGUAUUGGAUUGGCAUCGGAGCACUGAUUGGAUUUUCUUUUCUCUUCAACUUUUUGUUUAUUGCAGCAUUGACUUACUUGAAUCGUAAGUUAUCGAAUUUAAACAUUGUUUCUUUGCAUAAAAAUAAAGUUUCAAUGGUGACCAAUAAAAAAUGUGGGACAUACAUUUCAGCUAUCGGUGAUUCAAACUCAACUGUCGUUGAAGAAGAUGGAGACAAGAAGCGAGCAUCUGGAAAUGAAGUAGAAGGUUUAUGCCCUUGCCUUGCCAUCUUUAACUUUUUUUUUUUUUUCUUGCUUGUUCCUCCUAUAGCAACUGCCAGUGAUUAACAAGCAAAUUAUCUAUUUUGGCAACAGAAGUUGAUUUACAAUCAAACAUUUCAUAGCCUUCUAUUGGUUAUGAUAUCAAAAUGUUAUAAAUGCCUGAACAUAUUUUGAACAACCGCAGGAACGCAAAUGACAGUGAGAAGUUCAACUGAAAUUGUUGGAGAAGAAGAAAAUGCACCAAGAAGAGGGAUGAUUUUGCCCUUCCAACCCCUUUCACUUACAUUCAACCAGAUGAAUUACUACGUCGAUAUGCCAGCAGUAAGUCAUCAGCUCAGUACAUGAUUAAAAAUGUGACAUAAAUGUCUGAUUGCUUUGGGAUCAACUCUUUCAUUUCUGUGACAAAAUUUACUUGGCAUUCUACUCCAGGAAAUGAAAACUGAAGGAGUUGGAGAAGAUCGUCUUCAACUGUUACACAGUGUCAGUGGUGCAUUCAGACCAGGAGUACUGACAGCAUUAAUGGGUGUAAGUGGUGCAGGGAAGACAACUCUAAUGGAUGUAUUGGCAGGAAGGAAGACCGGAGGAUACAUCGAAGGAGACAUUAAGAUUUCUGGUUACCCCAAAAAACAAGAAACGUUUGCUCGUGUCAGUGGUUAUUGUGAACAGACUGACAUUCAUUCUCCUCAUGUUACUCUCUAUGAAUCUCUUCUCUACUCAGCAUGGCUUCGUCUUUCUUCAGACGUCGAUACAAAAAAACGAAAGGUACUAAUUUCGUCUAUACUCUUUCGGCAGGCAUUGAAAGAUUACCUAAUGAUCCAAUUGUGAUUAUUUUUUCUCUUCUUCCUUUUUGUCCGGCAGAUAUUCGUUGAUGAAGUUAUGGAGUUGGUUGAGCUUAAACCAUUGAGGGAUGCUUUGGUUGGCCUUCCAGGAGUAAAUGGUCUUUCAACAGAGCAAAGGAAGAGAUUGACAAUUGCUGUAGAAUUGGUUGCUAACCCUUCAAUCAUCUUCAUGGACGAGCCAACAUCUGGCCUUGAUGCUAGAGCAGCUGCUAUUGUCAUGCGUACGGUUAGAAAUACAGUGGAUACAGGGAGAACGGUUGUGUGCACAAUUCAUCAGCCAAGCAUAGACAUUUUUGAAGCAUUUGAUGAGGUAUUGCUGAAUUCUUAUAAAUUUUCUUGGGAAUGUGUUAUUCUAAGUUUUCUAGUCUAAUUUCAUUGCACAUAUUGAAAGUGAUGUUGUGCUUGUUGCAGCUUUUGUUAAUGAAAAGAGGGGGCCGUGUCAUUUAUGCUGGACCUCUUGGUCGCGAAUCUCACAAGCUCAUAGAAUAUUUUGAAGUAAGCUUGCCUUUUUUUCCUUUCUGUGGUUGGUUCUCUUAUCAUUAAAUAGACAAAUGAUUGACUUGAUCAUUACAUUAUCUCUAAUGAAUUUUUGGCUCAGAAUUUGAGCAGUAGAAAUAGGAUUACCGCCAAUAGGAAUCAAAAUGUGUACUAAUAUAUAUGAAAAUUCAGGCUGUUCCAGGGGUUCCUAAAAUUAAGGAUGCAUACAAUCCUGCAACAUGGAUGCUCGAGGUCAGCAAUAUUUCGGUUGAGAAUCAACUGGGAGUGGAUUUUGCUGAAAUUUAUGCCAAUUCAUCUCUUCAUCAGUAAGUUUGAGCCCAACACCUUUUUUGGUUACUCAUAUUGUUUUUUAUAUUGCCGCGAAUUCUUGGUCUUUUUCUUAUAUUUUACUUUCUUGAAUCACUUUUCAGGAGAAAUCAGGAACUUAUCAAAGAGCUUAGUACUCCACAACCUGGCUCGUCGGAACUCCACUUCCCAACCAAGUACUCCCAACCAUUUUUCACUCAAUUUAAGGCUUCUUUCUGGAAACAGUAUUGGUCUUACUGGAGAAAUCCUCAAUACAAUGCUAUUCGAUUUCUCAUGACUGCCACCAUCGCCAUUUUCUUCGGUCUUCUCUUCUGGGACAAAGGACAGAAGAGGUAAGUCGACUCCCCUUUCCUUUUCCUUUUGGUGCUUAUGCUGAAACUGAUUAGACUACAAUUAGUAUUGCAGAAUCUUUUAGGAGUUAAAUUGAUAAAUUUUUCCCCCCUUUUUUUAAACAGUUCCAGACAACAGGAUCUACAGAAUCUUUUAGGAGCUAUGUAUUCGGUUUGUCUUUUCCUUGGGACCACCAAUGCCGUGUCUGCGAUACCUGUUAUCUGUGUUGAGAGAACGGUAUACUACCGUGAAAGAGCAGCCGGGAUGUUUUCUGCAUUGUCUUAUGCACUUGGUCAAGUACGAAAUACAUUUCAUCUCUUCAAGAACUUAAUGUGUUUCGAUAGCUAACUUCCGCUUGUGAUAGAACAGGAACUUUGUUAUUCGCAAACUGACUAAUGAACACUCCCUAAUGCUGCAGGUUGCAGUAGAGAUAAUAUAUGUGACAGCUCAAACUGUCAUGUAUGUUCUUAUCCUUUACUCGAUGAUAGGAUUCAAGUGGGAGCUGGGAAAAUUCUUCUUGUUCUUCUACUUCAUGUGGGCGUCUUUUGUCAUUUUCACAUUGUACGGAAUGAUGAUUGUCGCAUUGACUCCUGGCCAGCAAGUUGCUACCAUUGUCUUGUCCUUCUUCCUUGCACUAUGGAACUUGUUCGCCGGUUUCAUGAUUCCCAGAGAGGUAUGUGCUGCAAACACAAUACUUAUUCCAUAUUUGAUUUUCCAUUUUUAUCGACGUCAAUAUGAAUAAAAUCGUCCCUAAAGCCGUUGAGGGCAUAGCAUAAAAAAUUUGUGCAGCUGCGUAAGCUGAAAAUGAACAAGACCGUGCUGCAUGGAAGCAAGCUUUAAUUUUAAUUUCUUCACAAUUCUGUAGCAUCUAUUUUUUAGACUAACAGUUGAUGUGCAUACAUAACAGGAAAUUCCUGUCUGGUGGAGGUGGUACUACUGGCUUUCUCCGGUGGCUUGGAAUCUGUAUGGCCUUGUGACUUGUCAAGUUGGUGACAUAGAGACACUGGUGCAGAUCCCUGAUGGCACUUCAAUGACAGUGAAGCAAUUUGUCAAAGAUAAUUACGAUUACAAGACUAGUUUCCUUCCUGUGGUCGCUGUUGUGCAUCUUGCCUGGAUUGGCGUCUUCUUAUUUGUGUUUGCCUAUGCCAUCAAAUCCAUCAACUUCCAAAGGAGAUAAACCUGUAGCUCAAAUCUUUAGAAUGCUACCUAUUCUUAGAAUUGUAAUCUUUCAAUUUUGCUUGUUACUUGGACUUUUAAGUAGAAAUUGUGAUAUGGAAUCCAAUGUAUUCUUUUAUGGAAAUUAAAUGAAUAAAGCAGUUUAAUUUUUGCAAAGAAUUUUUCAUAGAAACUGUGAUAUCUACAUAUUUCUUAGCCCAUGGAAAAAUUCAGUUUAAUAAAAUACCCCCACUUGAUCCUGGAGUUUUCUCUAGGAUUCAAACAAUCUUCUGAGUUUUCUCUUCAAAGUUGUGAUAUUUUACGUAUCUUGAAAGUAUUGACUGCAUGCAGAUGGAGAAUUAAAAGUCCAUUAACCAGGAAGUAUGCCAGUUUUCUGCUUUCGCGUUUCUAAAUAAAACAGUGGGAUUUUCACUAGCCAGUGAAUUAUCAUCCGAUCCUUGUACAGCUUUGUCUGUGUUUUUGGUUUGGUAUCUCUCUCCCUCUUUCAUUCAUCAAGUUAAUAUUAUUUACAUGUUUACUGUGAGGAUUUUCUCACAGAGCAUUGAUACCUGGACCUCCAGUAUCUGAUGAAUGUGUCAGUUAGACCCCCGAGACCAUAAUAAGUAGCAUCCAAACCCUAAAUCCGUUACCUUAUUUGUCAUAUUUAAUAGAUUGUCUAAAUUUGACUAGAAUUAUAGUACUAUGUAUAAACUCAAUCGAUAGUUAUAAUUAAGCCCAAAUAGAAAUUUACAUAUAAGUCUAAUAGAAGGCCACAUAUAAAGCCCAACAUAGGAAAUAUGAAAAUAAACUCUCACUACCGUAUAGAGAGACUUGAACUCUCUACCUAAGACAAAAGAUAUUAACAAAUUCUACCAAAUAAUUGUCAGCUAUUAUACCCUAAAAUUAAGAAUUUUUUGAUAGAUAUUUUCUCAUAAAAUCAAUAAACUUUGACCACAUCAAGCAAAAUACUAAUAUCAAUCCACUUACCUACACUUGGUACUACUAGUAGGAAGUUAAGUUAUAAUUUUAGAGUGUUUGAUAAAUACUUGCAAUUCUGUUGGAAGCUUAAGUCACAAUUGUUUGAUGAUGAAAUUUUGAAAAUAUAUUUAUUAUUUAAUUCAUAAUAUUUUUGAAAAGAAACAUUAUUUCACCUUUUAAUAUGUAUUUAAUAAUUGAUCCAAUGUAUGAGAAAGGAUAAUUUAUUUUAAUUAUGAUAUAUGAUAGGUGUAAUGUCAAGAUCAAAGCUACUUGAUUCAAAGUUCAAACCAAACCCACAUCAAAUUAACUAGAGUGGUUCGUUAAAAGAAAAAGAAGAAAAAAAAAAAAAAAGAGUUGCGGUUAUUGAAAUCCGAAGUCAUGCCCGGUCACCUUCAAACUCGUACUUUGGACAUUCCUUUAUUUCCUUGGUGUCUUGCUACAGAUAUUUAUGGAAACCGAAUACAUAACAUUUUUUUUAAUUGGGUAUUUAAAAGACAGGAUCAUUAUUUAUAUAUUUUAUUUAUUUAUUAUAUUUAAAUUUGUUAAUUGGAAAAAUCCAACGUCUAAAACCACUAGCCCUUGAAUUUCAGAAACGGUUAUAUUAUAAUUAUACCUAUCUGAUAAUAAUAAUGCAAGCUGAAGCUCUUUGAAAAGGGCAAUAACAAUAAUAAUAAUAAUAAUAAUAAUGUAACUAAAUGAUUAUAAAAAUUUUUGUUAUGUUAUAUAAUCAUGUAAUAUAUAUGAUUAUGCAGUAGUUAUAAAAAUUUUAUUUAAUUAUAAAAAUAAUAUUAUUUUAUUAUUUUAUACUUACAGAACUGUUGGAUGAAAAUUCAAUAACUGCUGCAUAAAUAAUUGUAUAGUUAUGUAACGUAAGGAUCUCCGAUUAUAAAAUAAAAAGUAAAAGAAGUCCCCUGUUACAGAAAAGCGAUGUGAUUACUGAUGGAGUUAAAGAACACAGAAAACUGAAGUGAACAAGAAUCUUGUGCCCCACGUGACCAUAUGUGGGCCCGCUGUGCACGAGGAUUAAGGAUGCUUUCACUCUGUUCACGUGGGAAGAUCAUAAGCAAAAUUUCUCGUCCAGUGGCAGUACUAUUGUGAUCCGCGCAUAUUACUUGCUGGAGGACUGAUUCCAAUCAGAAUGCGACACAGCAGCACUCAUUGAGUUGACGUCCGGACAUGCUAAGAGACAAUGCUUCACUUGACCAAUUCAGACAAUUUGUCCGUCUGAAAAAUGGAGGUGCGUAGGCUAUAUAUAUAUAUAGCACCCACACCGAAACAGGCCUUGCCUAACUGUCUGGAAAAUAUUAUUAACUGUACUGCAACUGAAAGAAAGGCUUUUGUCUUUUGAGCUGAUUGCAUUACUGCCGUGCAAAUUGAGCUUUCUUGAGAAAAGCAAAAAAUGAUCCUUUCCCUUUCUUUCUGGAUUAAAAAUCUUUCUCAUUAUCACGCGCGUGCAUCGUUGAGUGUGAGCUCGGCAAACUUCUUAACGUUAUCUCUGACUUUGAUGAUUCCAGCCAACUUCCUCUCUUUCAUACCAGAGGCGAGGGUAUUAAAAUGAAGUUGCUAUGUAACGGCACGUUUGGUGUUAUACUGUUAUAUAUAUAUAUAUAUUUUUUUUCAACCAGUGUUUUUUCUAAAUAAAAAAUAAAAAAAUGGUAAUAUUUAAGGGGACGAAAUCAUAUAUUACUUAAAAUGGCUAAAUUAGCCUUUGUUGUCUUGAGUUUCCAAAGGUCUAAAAUGUCGGUCUGAUAUUCGUCGAAGACACUAUACUGACUAUAUAAAGGGAACCUAACCUUUCAUUCAAAAAGGGAUUCUCUCUUUCAAUUUCUUAUACACACAACUGAGGGACAUUAAUGCUCCUGCAAAAUCUAUUAUGUGUGUGUGUCUCUCUCUCUCUCUCUUUUUCCCCUUUAAUUUUCUGCAUCUCUCUUCAGUUGUGUGUAUGAGAAAUUGAAAGAGAGAAUCCCUUUCUAAAUGAAAAGUUCCCAUUUUAUGUAUAUGUAGUUGUUUAUGGAGGAAAAUAACUAUCCUUCUCUUGAAUGUCCGUCCAAGUGCAGCUGCUUCGUGUUCACGAUAAUGUGAUGAAAUAGGAUUUGCUGGUGUAAAUCUAUGCACCUACAACUCUAUAAAUUCAAAUGGUGUUUUUGAGUUAAUAUUUUUUUAUAUAACCGAGACAUUCAUUUUGUAUUUAAAUGAUGUCACAUGCAUUUAAAGGAUCAUUCUUUGGUAAAAUUUUAUAAUUUUUUGAAAACUGGAACGCACAUGGAAUUGGCUUUUAGUUCAGGUUUAAUAUAUGGAUCGUAUCUACCUAUCACAUAUUCUCUUGUCUCUCUUCCUAUGACCCUAUCCCCAUUUUCAUGCUCUGUUCCUCUUCUUUUUUUUUUUUUGAUUGAUAAUGAUAUGAAUUCUAGAAAUCCCCAUUUUCAUGCUCUGUUCCUCUUCUUUUUUUUUUUUUGAUUGAUAAUGAUAUGAAUUCUAGAAAACUGAAAUGCACAUGCAAUCAUACAGUACUCACUCCAAAAAAACCAGCCUGUAAAGUCUUAAUAAACUGUAACUUAGCUUUAAAAUAACUAAUUAUUUUGUCAUCUCAUAUUCUCAUCCAGAGGCAAACAUUAUUGGUCAAUAUUAAUACGUGCCAGCAUUACAAUAACUUCGGGAGCAAAACUAUAUUAUAAUUUUCUUUGUUCUAUCUAAAUCCUGGCUGGCAAGAUUCUCCGCAUUAAUUUCGAAAUUUUCAGGUAAAAGAAAUAAAAAAAAAAUUAAUGUGUUCUAUUUAUUGAAUUAGAAAGAAAACGAAACACACACCGAUCACACAGCGGUGCUUCAGCUUUCUUUCACAAAAAAAAAGAACCAGAACCACCGUCACUAAUGGCUCAGCCUAAUUUCUCGAGAUUUCCCCACUUCAUUUCCUCUGUAUGUAACUCCUUAAUUUGUUUAAUAAAGAAAUCAUGUAUGCAUGCCCACCAUUCUGCUCUCUUUAUUCAGCAUAUAUUAAAGAACAAGAAAAUGGUAGAAAAUUAAAUUAAAUUUACGUUGAUGGAUAAUUUAGUAAUUAUAAGUUUACAUUGAAUGAGGUUUUUGGUUAUUUUAACACAAAAGUAUUAACACAUAGUAUGCAUAAUCGUCAAUUUUUAUAAUGUGUCGGGAUUUUUUUUUUUUGUUUUAUAAUGUCUCAUCCUCACCACCCAAUGAAAACGUAUUUAUGAAAGAAUAAAUUGCAUGGUAAUAGAAAAUAGUUUUUUUUAAAAAAAAAAUUCGGAAUCUAGCCAUUUAGAUGCACCAUAAAUAUUUCCAACAUGAGUGGUUGAGCUGCUACCCUCACACUUGUGGGGGCAGCAGUUCAAGCCCCCACAAAAGUAUUGUGGGGCUAAAAUUUCAUUCUCAAUUAUAUAAAUAAUUGUCUCUCUUAAAAUGAGAGUGUAGUCAAUAUCCCUCUGUCUGAUUGUAAAUAUAUUAAUAAAUAUUUUCAUGUAAUAUGAGUUGUAAUUCUAGGCAUUAGUUCUUGUAAUAAAAAAAAAAUUCAAUUUUAUGGCUUACAAGAACGUCAUCAUGACGAAAUUCACUACCUUUGAAUUUCUUUAAUUCGUUAGUGAGUUUUUUUUCAAAUAGUCAAUAUUAUUUCAAAAACAAAAAUACUAGACAAUUCAAAAAUUAGGACUUGAAAGGUGCGUCUUCUCAGCCACCAUAUAUGAGCAGCUCAUGCAGCAACGCCGCCCCUUAGGAGUGGGCAUAAGUUACACAAACGGAGCUAAUCUUGUUAAAAUUAGCUAAAAAGAUAUCAUUUUAACAGGGACUGAUAGGGACUCUACAGAUUUAAUAUUGAUCAUACACGUCUUAAUUAUCUUUUUUUUUAAUCUAUUUGAUGAUCUCAGAUAUAUUAUAUACAUUUCCCUAGGAUCUGUGGUAUAUAUAAACCAUGGUUAGAUGGAUUCAUUUUAGUCAACACCAUUAUCAUCAAUUCUCUUAACCCCAUGUUCAGCCUUCAAAAAUAAAAAGAGAAUUAUAUAGCAAGGAGAAUUUUUCUUUUUACUUUGAAUGCUCAGGAAAAUAAUGACUCGUGUAAGCCAUGCAUAUUUCACAAAUUCUGUCAACAAAAUUCAACAAGUCCCAAUAGAUAGUACUGUAUCAAUAGUAAUUGGGAAUACUAUUGGCUAAUUAAUUUAAUUCGUAAUUAGACAAGUAAAUCAGAAUCAAUAUCAUGCCGUUGUUGUCAGCAUUUUGUCUAGAUUUUUUUUUUUAUCUAAAUAUCAGUGAUAAGAUUAUCAGCAAGUCUCCAUCAACUUCUUGUUUUUAAAAUAAAUAUAAAUCAAGAUGGACCGACGAAUCUCCAUCACCUUGCUUGGCUUUUUCGUAAUUGUAGGAGACUAAAAAUAUAUUUAAAAUUGUAGGGUUACCUGUUUGGAGGGGUAAGUAGCUGAGUACAAUAAUUGCCACAUCAUUAAACGGCGUCGUGGUGAUUAAAAUCACGACUUCAAUCAAUAUGUUUAGAUUUUUUUUUAAAUGGUCAACGAUAGUUAAGGACUAAUGUGUAAAGAAAUUGAACAAGGUGGGUUCAUUUGUCAAAAUAUCCAAACCUGUAGGUUUUUUUAUUUCUCUAGAAGCAAAAGGUUUGAGUUGAGCCCCUCUUUUACGAAUGCGAAGAAUUUCUAUUUGCCGAUGAAUAGAGUCUACAAAAGAAGACGAAGAAACUCUUCGUCAAUUAUUUGACCAAUAUAAAUAUAAAAUCAAAAGCUCCUCCCAAAUUACAGCGUCUCGAUGCAAUUAUUUCGACUUUUUUCUAAUAUAAAUAAUCGAAGAUUCCUCCUCAUCUUCGCCAACUACUAGCUGUCAAUAUCAUGAAUUGGACAACAGACUUCUUGGUCUAGUUGAUAGGACUUGACUAGCUUACAGAAUCUGUAAGCUACAGACUGCAGCAUCAGCCGUUGGAUGUGGUUGGAUGUGGGGUGAGAAACUAAACAAUAGAAGAUCGGAUGGUGGGAUGACGGGAGAUGUUUGUUACAGAAUCUGUACCAUAGACAGGUCCCUAGUUGAUAACAUGAUCCAUGAGAAACAAAACCCGAAACGUGAUCCAAACGUCGAUGUAUAAAUAAACAGAGAGAGCCCGCCUCUUUUGACGAGCGUUACAUCGUAAAUUAUUUCCAUUACCGAAAUAUAAUCAUUAAUCAAUAAAAUUUCAUAGACUAAAUAAACAAAUAUAACAAUAAUAACAAAAUAAAACGUGUUGCAAAAUUAAGAAUUUUAAAUUAAAAAAAAAAAAUAAAUGCAGAACCCGCCUGCUUUGACGAACGUUCCACGCAAGUAGUCUUUCUUUUUUAUAAAUUGCCAGGCUGCUGCAUCCACUAGCACCCUUCACACUCCCUUUUAAAAUUCAUUUCUCCCACCAGCUUCAAUUUCAUUCUUUGAUUCAAGCCAUAAGCUGUUUUGUAAAGUUUUUCGUUUAUAUUCAAUCGGUUUACAUCUUAUUUUCUAAAGACUUUAAUAAGAAAAAGAUAAUAAAAAUAAAGAAGAAGAAGAGGAGGAUUGGAUUGAACUCAGCAAGAUGAGUGCCACCGUGGCAGACGAUCUAGCAAGAUCAUUUUCCGUGAGAGGGGGGCAGAGCAUAUCAUCAGGUAGCCGCCGGAGCUGGGCGUCGGCCAGCAUCCGGGAAGUAUGGAAUGCGCCGGACAAUGUGUUCAGUAGGAGUGAAAGGCAGGACGAUGAAGAGGAGCUGCGGUGGGCCGCCAUUGAGCGGCUGCCGACCUACGAUCGGCUAAAGAAGGGCAUGCUAAACCAAGUUCUUGAAGAUGGAAAAGUUGUUAAACAUGAAGUUGAUGUCAGUAAUCUUGCCGUCCAAGACAAGAAGCGGUUGCUCGAAAGUAUAUUGAAAAUCGUUGAAGAGGAUAAUGAAAAGUUCCUUAAAAGAAUUAGGCACAGAACUGAUAGGUAAACAAGUAUUUUUCAUUUUAUUUUGUUUGAUUUUGCCGAUUGAAUCAUUUGACUUUUUUUUUUUAAUGGUACACUUCUUUGUGAUUAAUGAUUGUAACAGAGUGGGAAUUGAGAUUCCUAAGAUUGAAGUUCGAUAUGAUCAUUUAUCCGUAGAAGGUGAUGUGCAUGUUGGAACCAGAGCUCUCCCUACCUUGCUUAAUGUUGCCUUGAACAUGUUGGAGGUUUUUUUUUUCCCCUUUUCCAUUUAUUCUUGGUAUCUUUGUCUGCCAAUUUCUAAAAUUCUUUUGAAGAUUAAUUGUUGUUCUUCUGAUUUUUCAUGGAAAAUAGAGCGCUCUAGGAUUGUUGCAUUUAGUCCCAUCUAAGAAAAGAAGCGUUCGGAUCCUUAAAGAUGUCAGUGGGAUUGUCAAACCAUCAAGGUAAUUAAUUUCAUGAAAUAUGUUUUGUGAUCUGAUUAACCAAUAUUUGUUGUAUCGGUUACUGACAUAGAAAUUUCAGGAUGACACUACUUCUUGGUCCUCCUGGUGCCGGGAAAACAACAUUGAUGUUGGCUCUUGCUGGGAAGCUUGGUAAAGAUUUGAGGGUCUGUUUCCCAUCUCUUUACAAUUUGAUCUCUGAUUACUUUAUGUUUAAUUAUCUUAGAUAAGUUUCUGACAAUCUGGAUUUGGAGAACUGCACAGGCAUCUGGGAAAAUCACAUACUGUGGCCAUGAAUUGAAUGAGUUUGUGCCACAGAGAACCUGUGCUUACAUCAGUCAACAUGAUCUUCACCAUGGAGAGAUGACAGUGAGAGAGACACUGGAUUUCUCAGGAAGAUGCUUAGGUGUUGGUACAAGAUAUGAACUGCUGGCUGAACUUUCGAGAAGAGAGAAACAAGCAGGAAUUAAGCC
rnacentral:lncRNA from 1 species